UUAAAAAGUUAUUUGACAUGCCUCCACCUUUCUUGCACCACCUCUUAAAUCAAGAACAGUCCCUGGGCUGAUGUAUUGUAAUUAAGUUCAUUUUCAAAAGCUAAAAGGAGGGUUUAUGAUUGGAAAAUUUAGAUUUAUUAAUAUAUUUUGCCAGUAGAAUUGAACAGGUGAUACAUUACCCUACUGAUGUGCUUUUGUAGAAAAGUAAGUAGCUUAGAAAAGCCAAACUGUACAUUAAAGGGAAAUCAGUGUGCUAUGCUGGGAAAUAAAAGAACAGACAUCUUUCCAAAUAACACGUGAGAGGGGGGAGGACCCAAACAGAUGUGUCAAUCAUCUGUAAUCAGUUAACAAAUGUUCUUCAUGUCUUUAUAGAAACAACUUGGUGAUAAAAAAAAAUCUGCAUAAACUAGUUUCCCUCAUUAACCACUGUGCAGCACGCGCUGGCAACACUCCAUAAAGUCCCGGAAGAAGGCACACGAGGUCUUCCUCUUUAACCGUCAUCACUGUCCGCCCGCGCCAGAUGCUCCAUUCAUUCAAACAGAACCUGACGCACGAGGACCUCCCUGCGACCCUCAGAAACGUGACAGAAGCAACAGCAUGUGGAACGAGAAGAAACAGAGUCCACCUGCUGACCGCGGUCAGGCUGUAGCCGCCAUCAUCUUUGUGCUCGGUCUGGGAACUCUGCUGCCCUGGAACUUCUUCAUGACGGCCUCUCAGUAUUUCAACAAGCGCCUCAUGACGCCGAACAUCACCUCCAACGGCACAUCAGGCGCCACAGCCAAAGACUACAACUACGACAGCUGGAUGGCCUUGCUUUCCCAGCUGCCCCUGCUGCUGUUCACGCUGCUCAACUCUUUCCUGUAUCAGUGGGUGAGGGAGCGUCUCCGUGUGGCCUUCAGCAUGAUCGUCAUCCUCAUCCUCUUCUCCCUCACUGCCGCUCUGGUCCAGGUCCCCAUGCAGCCGGACACCUUCUUCUCCGUCACCAUGGCGACCAUCUGGUUCAUCAACAUGUUUGGUGCGGUGCUGCAGGGCAGUCUGUUCGGUGUGGUCGGUCUGUUUCCUCCUCGUUACAGCACUCUGUUCAUGAGCGGUCAGGCUCUGGCCGGGAUCUUCGCUGCACUCGCGAUGCUCCUCUCCAUCUUAAGUAACGCAGAUGAAAGCUCGGCAGCGUUGGGAUACUUUAUCACUCCGUGUGUGGCCACUCUGGGGACUCUGGUGUGUUACCUGCUGCUGCCACACCUGAAAUUUGCUCGUUUCUACCUGAACAGAAGUCAGUGUGAGAAUGUGGACACGAAACAGGAACUCCUCAGCAGCACAGAGAAGAAAGUCUUGAACAACGAGAAAGAACUCGAGGCCCAUGGGAAGUUCAUCAUGGAGCCAGAGGAGAACCAGGAGCGUUCGUCGGUCCUGAACGUCUUCAAGAAGAUCUGGCUGAUGGCUGCCUGUGUGACGUGUGUGUUUGCCGUCACCCUGGCAGUGUUUCCUGUGAUCACAGUGCGAGUUCGGACCGUCUACACGGGCAACGCUGCCUGGGAAAAAGUGUUCACUUGCGUUUGCUGCUUCAUCGUCUUCAACGUCAUGGACUUGGUCGGCCGCAGCGCCCCGUCUCUUGGCCAGUGGCCCUCGAAGGACAGCCUCCUGUUUCCCGCCGCCGUGUUGUCUCGUCUGGUCUUCAUUCCUCUGCUCAUGCUGUGUAACGUCCACAACUCCAGACUCACCGUCCUCUUCAGCCACGACUGCGCCUUCGUCACCAUCAUGGCCCUGUUCGCCUUCACCAACGGAUACCUGGCGAGCCUCUGCAUGGCCUACGCUCCACAGUUGGUGCGGUAUAAAGACUGCGAGACGGCCGGCUCCCUGAUGACCUUCUUCCUCGUGCUGGGUCUGGCAAUAGGAGCGUCUUUCUCCUUCCUACUGGGAAGACUGGUUUAGACGACUGGGUUGAGCAAACCACGUGAGACUCAAACAAAACAAAGCACCAACAUGUGAUGAAAUGUUUAGUUCAUCCUGUCAAGAAAGAAAGAAAGAAUGAACCCAAGUACGGGCUCUUAUUUUGUCAGCAUGCUGCGAAUCUGAGUAUUUAUUUUUCACUGUAGACACAUCUUUUAUUUUUGGUCCCACCACUGGUUAAAUGAAAUUACACGGCCCCUCAAGAGUCACAUAGUUUAGAAACAAAUACCUGUAAAUCAACAUUUACGGUGUCAGUAAAUAUACAUGGAUUAUUGAAGGGAAAACUACAAUUACAGGGAUUAUUAGGGAUUAUGAAUUAUUAUUAUCAAAGAGUGUGGUUGUCUCCGGAGAGGCCAGAUUAAUAAUUUAUCAAAAACAGGAAUUUUAUUUUUUUAUUGAUUUGUACUUUUAUCACAUGGCGUAAUGAUCAACCUCAAUUAUGUGUAUUUUUUUCCCCUUUAAUUUAAAAUUCCUGCUUUUAUUCUGAAGACAAGACGAACAUUUCAGAACUCAGAGCUUUCCAAAUUAAUGUCUUUUGCUCGUCACAGUGGUUAGCAUUGGUGCCUCAUAGGAAAAGGGUUCCUGGUUUGAACCCUAGGGCGGAGUUUGCAUGUUCUCCCUGUGUCAGCGUGGGUUUCCUCCAGGUGCUCCAGCUUCCUCCCACAGUCCAAAGACAUGCAGGUUAAUUGGUGACUCUAAAUUGUCCGUAGGUGUGAAUGUGAGCGUGAAUGGUUGUCUGUCUCUAUGUGUCAGCCCUGUGAUAGUCUGG